rnacentral:rRNA from 2 species
GUCCGCCUGCCCUGUGACAAUGUUCAACGGCCGCGGUAUUUUGACCGUGCAAAGGUAGCGUAAUCACUUGUCUUUUAAAUGAAGACCCGUAUGAAAGGCAUCACGAGAGUUUAACUGUCUCUAUUUUCUAAUCAAUGAAAUUGAUCUAUUCGUGCAGAAGCGAAUAUAAUAACAUUAGACGAGAAGACCCUAUGGAGCUUCAAACACUUGAACUAAUUAUGUAAUCUUUUCCAUCUAAGGGUAUAAACAAAAAUAUAAUACUUCUAGUUCAACUGUUUUUGGUUGGGGUGACCAAGGGGAAAAAUAAAUCCCCCUUAUCGACCGAGUACUAAGUACUUGAAAAUUAGAAUAACAAUUCUAAUUAAUAAAAUAUUUAUCGAAAAAUGACCCAGGAUUUCCUGAUCAAUGAACCAAGUUACCCUAGGGAUAACAGCGCAAUCCUUUCCCAGAGUUCCUAUCGACGAAAGGGUUUACGACCUCGAUGUUGGAUCAGGACAUCCUAAUGGUGCAACCGCUAUUAAGGGUUCGUUUGUUCAACGAUUAAUAGUCCUACGUGAUCUG